rnacentral:rRNA from 1 species
CAGGUGCUGCGAUGGCUGUCGUCAGCUCGUGUCGUGAGAUGUUCGGUUAAGUCCGCUAACGAGCGCAACCCUCGCUGUGUGUUACAAGUGUCACACGGAACUGCCGGUCAUAAACCGGAGGAAGGUGGGGAUGACGUCAAGUCAGCAUGGCCUUUAUAUCCUGGGCUACACACACGCUACAAUGGGAAGGGACAAUAGGUUGCGAAGCCGCGAGGCGGAGCCAAUCCAGCAAAACUUCCCUCAGUUCAGAUUGCAGGCUGCAACUCGCCUGCAUGAAGUUGGAGUUGCUAGUAAACGCAGGUCAGCCAUACUGCGUUGAAUACGUUCCCGGGGCUU